UCGAGGAUAUUCGGCAAUGGGCGCAAGCCUGACCGAGCGACGCCGCGUGUGGGAUGAAGGCCUUCGGGUUGUAAACCACUGUCAACGGGGAGGAAAUGCAGGGGGGUUAUCCCCUCUGUUUGACCUAUCUGUGGAGGAAGAACGGACUAAGUUCGUGCCAGCAGCCGCGGUAAGACGAACCGUACGCACGUUAUUCGGAAUUACUGGGCGUAAAGUGCGCGUAGGGUGCGCGAGAAGUCGGGUGUGAAA
rnacentral:rRNA from 1 species